rnacentral:rRNA from 1 species
AUAUCCCUACGGACGCAGCAGUGGGGAAUAUUGCACAAUGGGGGAAACCCUGAUGCAGCGACGCCGCGUGAAGGAAGAAGUAUCUCGGUAUGUAAACUUCUCUCAGCAGGGAAGAAAAUGACGGUACCUGACUAAGAAGCCCCGGCUAACUACGUGCCAGCAGCCGCGGUAAUACGUAGGGGGCAAGCGUUAUCCGGAUUUACUGGGUGUAAAGGGAGCGUAGACGGCAGCGCAAGUCUGGAGUGAAAUGCCGGGGCCCAACCCCGGAACUGCUUUGGAAACUGUGCAGCUCGAGUGCAGGAGAG